rnacentral:rRNA from 1 species
UACGUAGGUGGCAAGCGUUAUCCGGAAUUAUUGGGCGUAAAGAGUGAGCAGGCGGUUGAUUAAGUCUGAGGUUAAAGCGUGGAGCUCAACUCCAUAAAGCCUUGGAAACUGAUCGACUAGAGUACGGCAGAAGUGAAGGGAACUCCUUGUGUAGCGGUGAAAUGCGUAGAUAUAAGGAAGAACACCAGUGGCGAAGGCGCUUCACUAGGCCGAAACUGACGCUCAGUCACGAAAGCGUGGGUAGCAAAUA